rnacentral:lncRNA from 1 species
CUGGAACUUGACGAACUCCUCUGGGGCCACUUUGAAGUGAGGGACCUGGCAAGAGGAGCAAAAACGGACAGCAGGGAGGAUCCAGAUGUUGCUGAUGAUGGAGCUGGAGGCUGGGCUGGACGAUGGUCCGAGGACAGCGACCACCCCCUUGGGGAGGAUCUGACACACUGCAGCCAGCGGCAGGGACAGGGAAAGAAGCAAAGCACUCAUCAGAUACAAAAUCAACAGAGAGAAAUUAAAGAGCAGAGUCAAGAUUCAACAGCUCCACCCAUUUCCCCAAAGACCGGCCCCUUAACCACUGCACCGCACAGCCAUCCCCAGCAAAUGGCAAUUAACUGGGAUGUUUGUAGAUUGCCUUGGCCACUGGAACACUGAGUUAUUGUCUUCCCUUUUUUCAUUUCACUACUUUCUAUAAUGAGCAUGUAUUCCUUUUUAUAACA